ACACCCGCAGCACUGUUUAAUGGCAGUAGUCAUGAUGUCUGAUGCCCCAACUAUUCCGCAUGUUGGUGAUAGAAUGUAAGAUGCCUCAUGAAUCAGAAUACAGCAUGGGGUGAAGUAACACUUUGCUACUUAAUUAUCGGCACAAUACUUGCUUUCCUAAAGGAGUUCGUGACAAAUCUUCCUUAAAGUCUCACAAUGGCAACUGCUAUCCAAGUCGGCCAAAUUUGAG
rnacentral:misc_RNA from 1 species